AUUGCACGCUGGCGGCAGGCCUAAAACAUGCACGUCGAACGAGUGGCGGACGGGUGAGUAAUGUCUGGGAAACUGACUGAUGGAGGGGGAUAACUACUGGAAACGGUAGCUACUACCGCAUACCAUCGGAUGUGCCCAGAUGGGAUUUGCUAGUAGGUGGGGUAACGGCUCCCCUAGGCGACGAGCCCUAGCUGGUAUGAGAGGAUGACCAGCCACACUGGACAUGAGACACGGUCCAGAAUCCUACGGUAGGCAGCAGUGGGGAUGAGUGCACAAUGGGCGCAAGCCUGAUGCAGCCAUGCCGCGUGUAUGAAGAAGUCCUUCGGGUUGUAAAGUACUUUCAGCGGGGAGGCGUUACCCGCAGAAGAAGCACCGGCUAACUCCGUGCCAGCAGCCGCGGUAAUUC
rnacentral:rRNA from 1 species